rnacentral:tRNA from 1 species
ACCUGGCUGGCUCAGUUGGUAGAGCAUGUGACUUGCAAUCUCGGGGUCAUGGGUUCAAGCCCCACCUUGGGCA